GGCUGCGCCCAGCUCACUGUAGCCACACGGGGCCGGCCGUGUUUGAAUAUUGACGUACGGAAGGCAAGGUGGCAGAUUUGUGGGAAUGUAGCCCAAGAUGGCCAGGAGGAUGAAACUGUCUCAUGUCCUGGCUCUUUAACCGUCAGUAGAUUUCCAGACACUCAAGCUUUACAAGCAUCCACUGCUGGAAUCAAGCUCAGAGUAUCCCACAGGAGCCUAGACUCUACCGGCAGCUGCCCAAGGUGACCUUGUGUCAGGAAGCCCAUCUGUUCCUGGGCUCCAGUAUCGAAGUCUACCCCUGGUCAUCACCUGGGACACUGAGACAGAUGGUUACUGACCUACUCAGAUGCCAAAGCAAGCAGAAGAGAUGGCCAUGCUCAGGGAACCAUGGCAAGCCAGGGACUGGAAGUCUGGGAUCUGCAAUAGAAACCACCCAGAGAACCAGAAAGUCCUGGGAAAACCAAAUGGGUGAGGUUUCUAGAUGCUCAUGUGUGGACAAAGACACCUACAGUUUGGAAUGUUAGGCAGAUAUGAGAAUGGGGCAGAGUGGACAAGUCAGAUACGGGUAGGACCGGAUACAUAGCCCAUUCUAGGAAUGGAAGAAAUGAGUAGGUUAAGGUGCAAAUAUAUGAGCUUGCUGGCCUGUGUUAUGAUGAUCAGGCUGGCCUCUUGCAGGAUUACAGAUUGUGUCAGUAACAGCCUUAUACACUCUGUGUGAGGCCUAGACAUGUGAUUGAACAUGAGAGCAUCCAGCCCAGGCCAAGCCAGCUCAGACCCAGCAAUUUACCAACAUGUACAACUGAGAGAAUUAGUAAAUGCUCCUUAUCUGCAG
ensembl:lncRNA